rnacentral:sRNA from 1 species
GCUAAACCCAAAUUAUUGGAUUGCAACUCGACUAUAUUCUUGGAUGGUGUUACAGUGGACUGUAGAGCAUACGGAGUAUUUCCGAAAAUAAAGUGUGCUUUCAAUGUCAAAAUAAAUAAGAUAUCUAAAGACUUCACAAAUUUUACUACCACUAGGAAUGAAAAGAUUGAAGGGGAAAUUGAAUUCUACGAUUCCUUUUGUAUACUAACUAUUCCAGUCUCAAGUGUGGAAAUUGGAAGACUGGAAAUAGAGCCCGAGCUCCAGUUAGAGGUUGCCAACGAGAUUGUUCAUCUGGACUUAAACUACUCUCUUGAUCUUAUUAUUGACAAACCCAAGAUAACUCUGUAUUCGUGUCAAACCGGUGCAGAAAGAGUUACUUGCUCCUGUAUUGUACAAGAAAGUAACCUGGAGUAUACACUGGCUUGGUACAGUGGUAGCGGAGAAGUGAUACAAAAUGGAUCCGAACUAUCCUACAGCCACAACAGUCAUGAUG